GAUCCUGGCUUAGGAUAAACGCUGGCGGCGUGCUUAUGCAUGCAAGUCGAACGGUCUGGUUUGUGAGCUUGCUAUAGAACCAGAGAGUGGCAAACGGGUGAGUAACGCGUAAGUAACCUGCCCCUAAGUAGAGGAUAGCUUCGAGAAAUUGGAGAUAAUACUCUAUGUGUUGGUCCCCCGCAAGGGGGAUCAUUAAAGCCUUCGGGCGCUUGGGGAGGGGCUUGCGUCCUAUCAGCUAGUUGGUGGGGUAACGGCCUACCAAGGCUAAGACGGGUAGCUGGUCUGAGAGGAUGUCCAGCCACAAGGGGACUGAGACACGGCCCCUACUCCUACGGGAGGCAGCAGCAAGGAAUAUUGUGCAAUGGGCGAAAGCCUGAACCACAGCGACGCCGCGUGAGGGAAGAAGGCCUUCGGGUUGUAAACCUCUUUUCUUAGGGAAGAUGAUGACGGUACCUGAGGAAUAAGUCACGGCUAACUACGUGCCAGCAGCAGC
rnacentral:rRNA from 1 species